UACGUAGGAGGCGAGCGUUGUCCGGAGUUACUGGGCGUAAAGGGUGCGCAGGUGGCCGUGCGCGUGGGGAGUGAAAUCGCCUGGCUUAACUGGGCGGGGGCUUUCCAGACGGCGCGGCUUGAGCCAUAGAGGGGGGCGUGGAAUUCCGGGUGGAGCGGUGAAAUGCGUAGAUAUCUGGAGGAACACCGGUGGCGAAGGCGGCAUCCUGGACCGGUAUUGACGCUGAGGAGCGAAAGCCAGGGGAGCAAAUGGG
rnacentral:rRNA from 1 species